UACAGAGGUGGCAAGCGUUGUUCGGAAUUACUGGGCGUAAAGGGCGCGUAGGCGGCCUUGUCAGUCAGACGUGAAAUCCCCAGGCUUAACCUGGGAACUGCGUCUGAUACUACAAGGCUGGAGUUCGGGAGAGGAAUGUGGAAUUCCAGGUGUAGCGGUGAAAUGCGUAGAUAUCUGGAGGAACACCGGUGGCGAAGGCGGCAUUCUGGACCGAAACUGACGCUGAGGCGCGAAAGUGUGGGGAUCAAACAGG
rnacentral:rRNA from 1 species